rfam:Asian citrus Psyllid, Diaphorina citri - Florida Strain, whole genome shotgun sequence.
CGCAGCGGCGACAGCACUUUGAAUGCAAAUGUUCCCAAUGGAUCACUGGAGUUAAGCAACGUUGCGCAUGGUUACUAUCCGGAUGGGUGACCAUCUGGACAAUCGCGUGCUGGCUUUUC